ACCAACAUUAUCUUAAUUGUUGGAUUUUGUUUCUUUAACUUUGUCAUGCCUUGUUUGACACAUUCAAUAGUGCGUUGAGGGCUCUGACUUCAGUAGCCAUGAAUUGACAUCAUCCCCCUUAUGGCUCAACAAAAUGAUUUUUUUUUUUUUUUACAUUGCUCUGGUUAAAAUUUUUUGACACAUUUCUUGUCGAUUGACUAAUUUCUAUAUCAACCGAAAAAAAAAGUGCAACUUUCCCCAAUCUUGUAUUUUGAGCAAUCGUGAUAACUUCUUCCUUGAUUCUUCUUCGUCUUUGAUGUUUGUAGAGGACAUUUCAAGCCACAAUAGCAAAGCACAUAGGUAUCGUUGUUGAUUAGAGAAAACCGAUAUUAUUGAUUGAGACAAAUUUGUUGAUAUCUCUAUUAAUUGUGAUGAUUGUAGCGGGACUAUUAUUUAUUGUUAAAAAGUGAUCCAUUUUUGGAAAGCCCUAGAACACACUAGCCUACACAUGCUUAAGAAUUACGCAUGCUUAACGGAGAAGGAAAAAGUCGGGGCAACAACUUGCUUCAAGUCGGCAAAUGAGGACGAAAAGAAAAAGUUUUGUACUCUUUUUGUAGUUGGCGCCAGCAACCCGCAGAGAAAUAAGGAAGAAGGAACGAGCGGAUUGGAAAAAAGAAGAAAAGGAAAGCAA
rnacentral:lncRNA from 1 species